rnacentral:rRNA from 1 species
GGCGUAAAGAGCUCGUAGGUCGUUUGUUACGUCGGGUGUGAAAACCUGAGGCUCAACCUCAGGCCUGCAUUCGAUACGGGCAAACUAGAGUUUGGUAGGGGAGACUGGAAUUCCUGGUGUAGCGGUGGAAUGCGCAGAUAUCAGGAGGAACACCAAUGGCGAAGGCAGGUCUCUGGGCCAAUACUGACACUGAGGAGCGAAAGUCUGGGGAGCGAACAGGAUUAGAUACCCUGGUAGUCCAGACCGUAAACGGUGGGCACUAGUUGUGGGAACCUUCCACGGUUUCUGCGACGCGGCUAACGCAUUAAGUGCCCCGCCUGGGGAGUACGAUCGCAAGAUUAAAACUCAAAGGAAUUGACGGGGCCCCGCACAAGCAGCGGAGCAUGCCGGCUUAAUUCGACGCAACGCGAAGAACCUUACCAAGGCUUGACAUAUAGGGAAAAGUGGCAGAGAUGUCAUGUCCGCAAGGGCUCUAUACAGGUGGUGCAUGGUUGUCGUCAGCUCGUGUCGUGAGAUGUUGGGUUAAGUCCCGCAACGAGCGCAACCCUCGUUCUGUGUUGCCAGCAUUUAGUUGGGGACUCACAGGAGACUGCCGGGGUUAACUCGGAGGAAGGUGGGGAUGACGUCAAAUCAUCAUGCCCCUUAUGUCUUGGGCUGCACGCAUGCUACAAUGGCCGGUACAGAGGGCUGCAAUACCGCAAGGUGGAGCGAAUCCCAAAAAGCCGGUCUCAGUUCGGAUUGAGGUCUGCAACUCGACCUCAUGAAG